rnacentral:rRNA from 1 species
UGGUGGGUAGUUUGACUGGGGCGGUCUCCUCCCAAAGAGUAACGGAGGAGCACGAAGGUUAGCUAAUCCUGGUCGGACAUCAGGAGGUUAGUGCAAUGGCAUAAGCUAGCUUGACUGCGAGAGUGACGGCUCGAGCAGGUGCGAAAGCAGGUCAUAGUGAUCCGGUGGUUCUGAAUGGAAGGGCCAUCGCUCAACGGAUAAAAGGUACUCCGGGGAUAACAGGCUGAUACCGCCCAAGAGUUCAUAUCGACGGCGGUGUUUGGCACCUCGAUGUCGGCUCAUCACAUCCUGGGGCUGAAGUAGGUCCCAAGGGUAUGGCUGUUCGCCAUUUAAAGUGGUACGCGAGCUGGGUUUAGAACGUCGUGAGACAGUUCGGUCCCUAUCUGCCGUGGGCGCUGGAGAAUUGAGGGGGGCUGCUCCUAGUACGAGAGGACCGGAGUGGACGCAUCACUGGUGUUCGGGUUGUCAUGCCAAUGGCACUGCCCGGUAGCUAAAUGCGGAAGAGAUAAGUGCUGAAAGCAUCUAAGCACGAAACUUGCCCCGAGAUGAGUUCUCCCUGAGACUUUAAGUCUCCUGAAGGAACGUUGAAGACGACGACGUUGAUAGGCCGGGUGUGUAAGCGCAGCGAU